rnacentral:lncRNA from 1 species
AAUUUUAAAAAGAUUUAUUUUUUUCUUAUCUUCAAAAUUUUAGUUGGUCUAAAUGCUUUAAAAUAUUUUUUUGUCGUACGCCUCUUUCAGAAGAGUUACCACUCUUCCAAACAAAUGUUGGUUUUGUUGGAAGUCUCCUUCCUUUAAUAAUUUGUAAUGUUGAGAGGGGUUUUUAGUCCCACAUUGCUUGUGUAGAGUUUUUUAGAUAGCUUAAUAAGCAUUCAUAUCCUACACAUGCUAAAGUAACUUUUUGGUGGGAAGUUGUGGAGGGAAAGCCAAUAUUAUAUUAUCAAAGAUUGGCACUUGGCACUU